rnacentral:rRNA from 1 species
UAGCGGCAGGCCUAACACAUGCAAGUCGAGGGGUAGUUACUUUCGGGUAAUGAGACCGGCGCACGGGUGCGUAACGCGUAUGCAAUCUACCUUUUACAGGGGAAUAGCCCAGAGAAAUUUGGAUUAAUGCCCCAUAGUAUGUAUGAAUCGCAUGGUUUAUACAUUAAAGUUCCAACGGUAAAAGAUGAGCAUGCGUCCCAUUAGUUAGUUGGUAAGGUAACGGCUUACCAAGACGAUGAUGGGUAGGGGUCCUGAGAGGGAGAUCCCCCACACUGGUACUGAGACACGGACCAGACUCCUACGGGAGGCAGCAGUGAGGAAUAUUGGACAAUGGGCGCAAGCCUGAUCCAGCCAUGCCGCGUGCAGGAAGAAGCAUCUAUGGUGUGUAAACUGC